AAAUUGUUCAUAUGCAAUUCAAAAUAUUGAACAAGUCCAUAAAGAAGUCUCUAAAGAGAUACGUCGACCGGAAGUUCAAACGUUUGGAGAAUAAAAUUGAUUCAAAUCAUAUUGAUCUUUUGAAAGCCAUCGACAGUAUAGCGCACCGCAUGACUGGCACAUCAUCUCAACUUAAAACAGAUGAUUUUGAUCAAACAUUCCAUGUGGUGAAACAACAACAAGCACCUACUGGAUCGGAGGAGCACAAUCUUGCAAAUAAAUUUGACCCACCCCAAGCAAAUGACCAAUCUAAUGUCCAGGAAGAUAUUAAGGGACCUGAACCAUCCACCAUGAUACAAAAGGUGGACAAUGUAUCAAAAUAAAAUAUUUCAUCAGAUGUUCCAGAAUUAUUUGAUCAGCAUGUUUCUUCUGAUACAUUAAAGGAAGCUGAACCAUCCAACAAGAUACAAAAGAUGGAUGAUGUAUCAGAACACAACAUUGUAGCAGAUGAUGCAAAAUUAUUUGAUAAGCAUAUGUCAGCAGAUACAUUAAAAGAACCGGAAACAUUCAUUAUUACACCAUAAUUAAAGAAUGUAUCAGCACACCAAAUGAAACCAC